rnacentral:rRNA from 1 species
CGGACUGGAGUCUGCAACCCGACUCCACGAAGCUGGAUUCGCUAGUAAUCGCGCAUCAGCCACGGCGCGGUGAAUACCGUUCCCGGGCCUUGUACACACCGCCCGUCAAGCCAUGGGAGCCGGGGGUACCUGAAGUGCGUAACCGCGAGGAUCGCCCUAGGGUAAAACUGGUGACUGGGGCUAAGUCGUAACAAGGUAAC